rnacentral:sRNA from 1 species
UCAUAGGCUUGUUGCGGACAGAUGAAGUGGAUGUGGGAGUCAAACCCGCCAUAUGUGACGAUUUUGUGCUCUCCUGCGAUUACGUCUGUCGCGCCGCCAAUGACAAGAUCUGGGUGAACUCCUGCCAUCACAUCUGGAUUACCUGCCUUGCCAAUGCCAACGAUGAUGCCAUUCUUAAUGCCGAUAUCAGCCUUGUAGAUGCCGGUAUAGUCAACAAUCAGUGCAUUUGUGACUACAGUGUCUAGGCAGUCUUUAUCCAGUCGUCCGGAGGCCUGACCCAUGCCGUCCCGA